rnacentral:rRNA from 1 species
CCUACCUCAUGUACAUACAUUUUACAACUUAAAGAUGCGGAGGUUUCUCCUUUACGACAUAAACCCCCCACCAAAGUCAUCCUUGUUCAGUAAGCACAUCGCCAACCAAGCAACCGGCCAAUCGGUGUGCGACCAGCAAACCUCUGACUGCCUUUGGCAGAGUAGUGCCCGCAGAAACUGCGCGCGGCCGCUCUUACCGCGCCGUCCCGUCUGAGCAGGAGCAGCGGCGGCGCCGGCGGGACGAGGAGGACGACACGCCGCCCUGCCGCGACCCCCGCUUCGCCCGCCGCUAGGGCCUGCUGGAGGCGCUGCACCACCUGCUGCUCCUCCUGCUCCUCACCGCCGUGACCCCGCGGCCGAGGCCCCGCGCCCUGCAGGGGCUGGCCGGCGGCGGCCUGGACAGCGCCUACCUGGGGCGGCGCGAGGCCCGGCUCUAGGAGGCGCCGGUGCCGCCCGGCAGCGACCCGAAGCACUUCGAGGCCGGGCCGCAGGCCGCCUGGGCCCUCCUCCACCGCCCCUAGCGCUGCGCCACCUCGUUGCACGACGCCUGGCCCAGCCACCGCCGCUUUAAGCACCGGCACCUGAAGCCGUGCGAGUACAAGUGGUACCUCUCUCCCGCGCUGUACGCGCUCGACUUCCUCAAGUAAGACCCCGCUCAAGUUCCAGCCGCUGGUCAAAAAGGCCUCCGGGCCUCUGGGCGGGGACCUGGUUCAAUAGCUCUACGAUGCCUUUGUCUGGUUCUUACUUCUAAGAAUUGUGCGAACGUUACACACACAUACACAAGAACAUUCUUACUUCUAACUUAAAAAGAAAGAAAGAGGACGCAGCAGAAAACGUCAGAAUCUAAGUCACUCAUUCGAUCGAUCGCCAGUUAUUCAUUCAUUCGCGGCGGGCCACCCGGCCUUCGACGAUGUCCAGUUUGAGGAGAGGUUCUAACGUUCGCAAAGCUGGCGAGACACGAGACACCUUCCCGUGCUCACCAAGACGACACAGACAACCAAGUAGCCGGGGCAGCCGAAGCCGUCUGUGCCGUGCCGUUCUCGCAGCCCACGCGAACCAGGCGGCAAAGAGGUACCUACAUGCACGCACCGAGAAAAGCUUCGUAUCGACGAAACAAAGACGUGUGCGGUUUAGCUCUUAGUCAAGUAGUCAGGAACUUGGUUUGCUCCCUUGUUCCUACAAAGCACGACGAAUUUUUUUUUUGAGCUGGGUUCCCCUCUCUUUGGGGCUUCCGUAAAAAUAAAUAUAUAACAUUUCCAACUCUUUUCCGGGAUUUGCGUCCGGACGCGGCGCGUUCAUAUGCGCCGCUUGUGCGACCGAACGUGUUAUACCUACAAAGCACGACGACCUUACAACCAAGUUGAAUGUUCAUACCGAGAAACUAACUAGCGAGGUUUACUGUUCGUUCGCCACCGCAGUUCCACGUGUUACUCAUCAAAAAAGAGAGAGAAAGAAAAGUUCCGUGAGAACGAUUCGAAAUAAAUAUAGUGGUGUUACAAAUGUCCAUUCUUUCUUUAAAGAGCGUGACCAGAUUGGUUUGUACCACUGGUUUGGGUUCGCAAUUACGUACGAAAAAAAAUGUCCUUCUGUUUGAAAUAAUUAGUAUACUGGCAAUGUAGUAAGCGAUUAUCAAAUUGUUACUUGAGGCCGCCCCGUAGUUGGGUUUUUCUAUUUACCCGACCUAAACUUCUUUGGGAGGCCUUCUGUAUAAAACACAGGCCACAGUUGUUGACUCCAUCUUAUCCGGGUACGUGUUGCGGCCCACGAAUCGGUCUACGGCAUCUUUAUUUG